UCUAUUAUGGCAGAUAAGUGCAAUGGGUUUAAGUUCCAUAUAUAAAGUCAUCACUUUUUUUAGAA
rnacentral:tRNA from 1 species